GGCCCUCACGCUCUCGCGCUGGCUCUAGCGCGAGGUAGGAGGGUUCUCACGCGCUCCGUGAGAAGUGAAAGCAAUGCGGAAAGUCAAAAGCUUAGAGAUACUGAGCGUGUGUACGAUCUGAGGAACCAGGCACAAAGUUCUGCCCAGGACGCUCACGGGCUUUGUCUUAGUAGCGGCUGGCUCUGCGCGUGCCAGGCUCUGUUAUGCCGACGCUAUCGUCCGCGCGGCGUGGCUGGCGGCGCGAACGCCGUCCGCUAGCUACUGCUGCAACGGAACGCAGCGCGGCCUGCGCGUUCUCGCGCACGCGCAAAGUGCAAAACAUGGCAGGCAUGCGGCCGGCCGGUGGCGGCGCCAGGUUGCCGCGCGCUUGCGGCGACCCGAGGGCCCGCCGCGAAUCCGGCUGUAGCUUGCCCAGCGCUACAGAAUGACUCUCUCUUCACGUGCGGCAGGGGCCUGCGCACGGCUGCGCGCGGCACGGGCGGCGGCCUUGCUGCCCGUAGCUCGCGCGCGCGCCGCGCGGCCCCUUACUGCUACUUAGAGAGGCAAG
rnacentral:rRNA from 1 species